rnacentral:rRNA from 1 species
UACAGAGGGGGCAAGCGUUGUUCGGAAUUACUGGGCGUAAAGGGCGCGUAGGCGGCCUGCUAAGUCGAACGUGAAAGCCCCGGGCUCAACCUGGGAACCGCGCUUGAGACUGGAGUACUAGAGUUCGGGAGAGGAUGGUGGAAUUCCCAGUGUAGAGGUGAAAUUCGUAGAUAUUCGGAGGAACACCAGUGGCGAAGGCGGCUCACUGGUCCGGUACUGACGCUGAGGUGCGAAAGCGUGGGGAGCAAACAGG